AUUGAACGCUGGCUGCAUGCUUAACACAUGCAAGUCGAACGAGAAAGUACCUUCGGGUGCGAGUACAGUGGCGGACGGGUGAGUAAUGCAUAGGAAUCUGCCCAGUAGUGGGGGACAACUCGGGGAAACUCGAGCUAAUACCGCAUAUUUCCUAAGGGAGAAAGACUUCGGUCGCUAUUGGAUGAGCCUAUGUCAGAUUAGCUUGCUGGUAGGGUAAUGGCCUACCAAGGCUACGAUCUGUAGCUGGUCUGAGAGGAUGAUCAGCCACACUGGGACUGAGACACGGACCAG
rnacentral:rRNA from 1 species